AAAGGGAUAGAGAGGCAGAGGGGGAAGGUUCAGUUAGAAAUGGCGGGAAUUGGUUAUCCAAACCUGAUUCCACGUGUCAACCGGACGACCACUCAAUCACCGUUAAAUUUACAGAGAGCCCACGGCGCACGGUGCUGCUCAGUUGCACCGGAAAAUGAAAAGAAAACCAAAACUCCUCAGAUUUUAAGAUUGGCAGUGAGCGGUGUUACAGAGUUGCUAAGACUCUUUUCUUCUUCCACCAAAGACAGAGUUGAUGAUGGACUAUGCACUAGGGAGAGAGAGGGAAUUUCAGUUUCUGAUGUUGAUGAAGUUCUAAGGAUCCUCAAAUCUGAUUAUGAGAAUGCUUACUUUGUUACAGGGAAUUUUACUUCUGCAAUUUAUGCUGAAGAUUGUAUCUUUGAGGAUCCAACUAUUAGAUUCCGAGGCAAGGAGCUGUAUUCUCGCAACUUGAAAUUGCUUGUUCCUUUCUUUGACAACCCUUCGAUUGGAUUACAAAAGAUUGAGAAGGGUGUCAAGGUGGAAACAAACUUUGUGCUGGCAACUUGGAGAUUAAGGUGCUUCACCGACAUUAAGUAUCUGGUUUUGCAUUCACAGCAGGAUCCAUUAGUCUGAAUACUCGAGAACUUUCCUGAAGCUUCCCUGGAAGCCUCUUAUUUCAAUCGAUGGAAGCACUUUCUAUGAAUUGGGCGAAAAGUUUACGAUUGUCAGGCAUGCUGAGAGUUGGAAUGUCUCUGCACUGGAAGCAGUUGGUCAGAUAUUCACUCCUAGUUUUUGGAAGGCCAAAUGAUUGAGCAUAAUAUAUUUUCCACGAGAAAUCAAGUUGCUAUAUAUGUAAUUAUCAGUUGCUGGUAGGAUUUCCAAAGUAGAGCUUAAAUUAUUUCAUUUGUUUUAAAUUUUGGUUGGGUACUGCUUCUUGCUCAUAAUUAAUGGCUACCUCCCACUAUCUUUUGUUCUGAUUAUAUAUCGAACACGAGCUCUAUAUAUAUUUUUCCUCUACAUAAAUGAAAGCUUAGCUUCAUGCGAUUUUCCUCGGC